AUUGAACGCUGGCGGCAGGCCUAACACAUGCAAGUCGAGCGAGCGGCGGACGGGUGAGUAAUGUAUGGGGACUGCCCGAUAGAGGGGGAUAACUACUGGAAACGGUAGCUAAUACCGCAUACUAUCGGAUAACCCAUAUGGGAUUAGCUAGUAGAGGAGGUAAUGGCUCACCUAGGCGACGAUCCCUAGAUGUGCUGCGAGGAUGAUCAGCCAAACUGGGACUGUGACAUGGCCCAGAAUCCUACGGAGGCAGCAGUGGGGAAUAUUGCACAAUGGGCGCAAGUCUGAUGGAGCCAUGCCGCGUGGAUGAAGAAGGCCCUAGGGUUGUAAAGUACUUUCAGUCGGGAGGCGUUACCGACAGAAGAAGCACCGGCUAACUCCGUGCCAGCAGCCGCGGUAAUAC
rnacentral:rRNA from 1 species